GACGAACGCUGGCGGCGCGCUUAACACAUGCAAGUCGAGCGAGAACCCAGGCUUCGGCCUGGGGGAAAGCGGCGAACGGGUGAGUAACACGUGGGUAAUCUGCCCUCGGCAUCGGGAUAGCCCGGGGAAACCCGGAUUAAUACCGAAUGGCCCAGCAGCUCUUCGGGGCGGCUGGAAAAGGUAGCUUCGGCCUCCGGCCGAGGAGGAGCCCGCGGCGGAUUAGCUUGUUGGUGGGGUAACGGCCUACCAAGGCUCCGAUCCGUAGCUGGUCUGAGAGGACGAUCAGCCACACUGGGACUGAGACACGGCCCAGACUCCUACGGGAGGCAGCAGUGGGGAAUCUUGCGCAAUGGUCGAAAGCCUGACGCAGCGACGCCGCGUGAGGGAAGAAGGCCUUCGGGUUGUAAACCUCUUUCAGGAGGGACGAAGCCACUCGGGUUAAUAGCCCAGAGGGUGACGGUACCUCCAGAAGAAGCCCCGGCUAACUACGUGCCAGCAGCCGCAGUAACAC
rnacentral:rRNA from 1 species